AGGAACUAUAAUAGGCCUAUGGAUCCCAA
rnacentral:sRNA from 1 species